rnacentral:rRNA from 1 species
GAGUUUGAUCAUGGCUCAGAUUGAACGCUGGCGGAAUGCUUUACACAUGCAAGUCGAACGGCAGCACGGGUGCUUGCACCUGGUGGCGAGUGGCGAACGGGUGAGUAAUACAUAGGAACAUACCCAGUAAUGGGGGAUAACGCCGAGAAAUCGGUGCUAAUACCGCAUACGCCCUACGGGGGAAAGCGGGGGAUCUUCGGACCUCGCGUUAUUGGAUUGGCCUAUGUCUGAUUAGCUAGUUGGUGAGGUAAAGGCUCACCAAGGCUUCGAUCAGUAGCUGGUCUGAGAGGAUGAUCAGCCACACUGGAACUGAGACACGGUCCAGACUCCUACGGGAGGCAGCAGUGGGGAAUUUUGGACAAUGGGCGAAAGCCUGAUCCAGCCAUUCCGCGUGAGUGAAGAAGGCCUUCGGGUUGUAAAGCUCUUUCGGCAGGAACGAAAUGGUCACGGUUAAUAACUGUGACUUCUGACGGUACCUGAAGAAGAAGCACCGGCUAACUACGUGCCAGCAGCCGCGGUAAUACGUAGGGUGCGAGCGUUAAUCGGAAUUACUGGGCGUAAAGCGUGCGCAGGCGGUUUUGUAAGUCAGAUGUGAAAGCCCCGGGCUUAACCUGGGAAUGGUGUUUGAAACUA